rnacentral:snRNA from 1 species
AAUGAGGUUAAUCCGAGGCGCGAUUAUUGCUAAUUGAAAACUUUUCCCAAUACCCCGCCAUGACGACUUGAAAUAUAGUCGGCAUUGGCAAUUUUUGACAGUCUCUACGGAGA